CUCCGGUUGAUCCCGCCGGACCCGACUGCUAUCAGAGUGGGACUAAGCCAUGCGAGUCGACGUAGCAAUGCGUGGCGAACGGCUCAGUAACACGUAGUCAACAUGCCCAGGGGACGUGGAUAACCUCGGGAAACUGAGAAUAAACCAUGAUAGGUCACGAUUUCUGGAAUGGAUCAUGGCCUAAAUCUACAUGGCCCCUGGAUUGGACUGCGGCCGAUCAGGCUGUUGGUGAGGUAAUGGCCCACCAAACCUAUAACCGGUACGGGCUCUGAGAGGAGAAGCCCGGAGAUGGGCACUGAGACAAGGGCCCAGGCCCUAUGGGGCGCAGCAGGCGCGAAACCUCUGCAAUAGGCGAAAGCCUGACAGGGUUACUCUGAGUGAUUUCCGCUAAGGGGAUCUUUUGGCACCUCUAAAAAUGGUGCAGAAUAAGGGGUGGGCAAGUCUGGUGUCAGCCGCCGCGGUAAUACCAGCACCCCGAGUGGUCGGGACGAUUAUUGGGCCUAAAGCAUCCGUAGCCGGUUCUGCAAGUCUUCCGUUAAAUCCAGCCGCUCAACGGAUGGGCCGCGGAGGAUACUACAGGACUAGGAGGCGGGAGAGGCAAGCGGUACUCAGUGGGUAGGGGUAAAAUCCUUUGAUCCAUUGAAGACCACCAGUGGCGAAGGCGGCUUGCCAGAACGCGCUCGACGGUGAGGGAUGAAAGCUGGGGGAGCAAACCGGAUUAGAUACCCGGGUAGUCCCAGCUGUAAACGAUGCAGACUCGGUGAUGGGCUAGCCUUGUGCCAGCCCAGUGCCGCAGGGAAGCCGUUAAGUCUGCCGCCUGGGGAGUACGGUCGCAAGACUGAAACUUAAAGGAAUUGGGCGGGGGAGCA
rnacentral:rRNA from 1 species